UACGAAGGGGGCUAGCGUUGUCCGGAAUCAUUGGGCGUAAAGCGCGUGUAGGCGGUCCGGUAAGUCCGCUGUGAAAGUCGGGGGCUCAACCCUCGAAUGCCGGUGGAUACUGUCGGGCUAGAGUGCGGAAGAGGCGAGUGGAAUUCCUGGUGUAGCGGUGAAAUGCGCAGAGUAUCAGGAGGAACACCAAUUGCGAAGGCAGCUCGCUGGGACGUAACUGACGCUGGAGACGCGAAAGCGUGGGGAGCAAACAGG
rnacentral:rRNA from 1 species